rnacentral:rRNA from 1 species
GGGGUAUAGUUCUUCGGAAUUAGAGACCGGCGCACGGGUGCGUAACGCGUAUGCAAUCUACCUUUUACAGAGGGAUAGCCCAGAGAAAUUUGGAUUAAUACCUCAUAGUAUAACUGAACCGCAUGGUUCUAUUAUUAAAGUCACAACGGUAAAAGAUGAGCAUGCGUCCCAUUAGCUAGUUGGUAAGGUAACGGCUUACCAAGGCUACGAUGGGUAGGGGUCCUGAGAGGGAGAUCCCCCACACUGGUACUGAGACACGGACCAGACUCCUACGGGAGGCAGCAGUGAGGAAUAUUGGACAAUGGGCGCAAGCCUGAUCCAGCCAUGCCGCGUGCAGGAUGACGGUCCUAUGGAUUGUAAACUGCUUUUAUACGAGAAGAAACACUACUUCGUGAAGUAGCUUGACGGUAUCGUAAGAAUAAGGAUCGGCUAACUCCGUGCCAGCAGCCGCGGUAAUACGGAGGAUCCAAGCGUUAUCCGGAAUCAUUGGGUUUAAAGGGUCCGUAGGCGGUUUAAUAAGUCAGUGGUGAAAGCCCAUCGCUCAACGGUGGAACGGCCAUUGAUACUGUUAAACUUGAAUUAUUAGGAAGUAACUAGAAUAUGUAGUGUAGCGGUGAAAUGCUUAGAGAUUACAUGGAAUACCAAUUGCGAAGGCAGGUUACUACUAAUAUAUUGACGCUGAUGGACGAAAGCGUG